rnacentral:rRNA from 1 species
AGAGUUUGAUCCUGGCUCAGGACGAACGUUGGCGGCGUGCUUAACACAUGCAAGUCGAGCGGUUCUCGUAGUUUACUUCGAGGAUAGCGGCGGACGGGGGAGUGGGUGAGUAACGCGUGGAUAAUCUGCCUGUAAGACAGGGAUAACGCCGGGAAACCGGUGCUAAUACCCAAUCGCAUGUUUGAAAGAGAAAAGGUGGCCUCUUUACAAUGCUACCACUUACAGAUGAAUCCGCGUCCCAUUAGCCAGUUGGUGGGGUAAAGGCCUACCAAGGCGACGAUCAGUAGCCGGCCUGAGAGGGUGACCGGCCACACUGGAAAUGGGAGGCAGCAGUGGGGAAUCUUCCGCAAUGGGCGAAAGCCUGACGGAGCAACGCCGCGUGAGCGAAGAAGGUUUUCGGAUUGUAAAGCUCUGUGAUAUUGGACGAACAAUUUCCCGUAAAUAAUGGGAAGGAAUGACGGUACAAUAAGAGGAAGCCACGGCUAACUACGUGCCAGCAGCCGCGGUAAUACGUAGGUGGCAAACGUUGUCCGGAAUUAUUGGGCGUAAAGGGCGCGUAGGCGGAUCGUUAAGUCCGGUGUGAAAGAUCAGGGCUCAACCCUGAGAGUGCAUCGGAAACUGGAGAUCUUGAGGACAGGAGAGGAAAGUGGAAUUCCACGUGUAGCGGUGAAAUGCGUAGAUAUGUGGAGGAACACCAGUGGCGAAGGCGACUUUCUGGACUGUAACUGACGCUGAGGCGCGAAAGCGUGGGGAGCAAACAGGAUUAGAUACCCUGGUAGUCCACGCUGUAAACGAUGGAUACUAGGUGUAGGAGGUAUCGACCCCUUCUGUGCCGCAGUUAACACAAUAAGUAUCCCACCUGGGGAGUACGGCCGCAAGGUUGAAACUCAAAGGAAUUGACGGGGGCCCGCACAAGCAGUGGAGCAUGUGGUUUAAUUCGACGCAACGCGAAGAACCUUACCAAGGCUUGACAUCCCGUGACAGCUAUGGAAACAUAGUCUUUCGCCUUCGGGUGAACACCUGUGCAGGUGGUGCAUGGUUGUCGUCAGCUCGUGUCGUGAGAUGUUGGGUUAAGUCCCGCAACGAGCGCAACCCCUGUGUUUAGUUGCCAUCAGUUUAAGGCGAGCACUCUAGACAGACUGCCGGUGAUAAGCCGGAGGAAGGCGGGGAUGACGUCAAGUCAUCAUGCCCCUUAUGUCCUGGGCUACACACGUACUACAAUGGCCGGUACAAGGGNGAAGCGAAGCCGCGAGGUGAAGCCAAUCCGAGAAAGCCGGUCUCAGUUCGGAUUGCAGGCUGCAACUCGCCUGCAUGAAGUCGGAAUCGCUAGUAAUCGCAGGUCAGCAGGCUGCGGUGAAUACGUUCCCGGGCCUUGUACACACCGCCCGUCACACCACGAAAGUCUGCAACACCCGAAGCCGGUGGGGUAACCGCAAGGAGCCAGCCGUCGAAGGUGGGGCCGAUGAUUGGGGUGAAGUCGUAACAAGGUAACC